rnacentral:misc_RNA from 1 species
GAACGCACAUUGCGCCCUUUGGCAUUCCGAAGGGCAUGCCUGUUCGAGCGUCAUGAUCAAAUCUCAAGCCUUGCUUGGUAUUGGGUUUUCGUCUCCCUCGUCUCUGUACAGGUAGUGACGUGCCUGAAAAUCAGUGGAGGUGCCUCAAUAGACUCAAGCGUAGCAGACUGGACUCGCUUUGGAGAAACUAUUGUAGGUCCUGCAAAUAAAAUAAUACGUUGGACCUCGGAUCAGGUAGGGAUACCCGCUGAACUUA